GCGGCCAUGUGGGACCCCCGGGCAGAGCGGGAAUCCCGGGAGAGAAGGGAGAUCCAGGCGUGCGGGGCCUCAAGGGAGAGAAGGGCGAGCAGUGCGGGCAGUGCCCUGCCACCCCGCAAGCCCUGCAGGGGACAGCGACAGCGCUGGCAGUGCCGGGACCACCGGGUGAGAGGGGUCCUGCUGGCCCCGCGGGCA